rnacentral:rRNA from 1 species
CCUACGGGAGGCAGCAGUGGGGAAUAUUGGGCAAUGGGCGCAAGCCUGACCCAGCAACGCCGCGUGAAGGAAGAAGGCUUUCGGGUUGUAAACUUCUUUUCUCAGGGACGAAGCAAGUGACGGUACCUUAGGAAUACGCCACGGCUAACUACGUCCCAGCCGCCGCGGUACUACGUAGGUGGCAAGGGUUAUCCGGGUUUCCUGGGCGUAAGGGUGGGUAGGCGGGAAAGCAAGGCAGAUGUGAAAACCGUGGGCUCAACCUGUGGCCUGCAUUUGAAAAUGUUUUUCUUGAGUACUGGAGAGGCAGACGGAAUUCCUAGUGUAGCGGUGAAAUGCGUAGAUAUUAGGAGGAACACCAGUGGCGAAGGCGGUCUGCUGGACAGCAACUGACGCUGAGGCGCGAAAGCGUGGGGAGCAAACAGGAUUAGAUACCCGAGUAGUC